GAUGAACGCUGGCGGCGUGCCUAAUACAUGCCAGUCGAGCGAACAGACGAGGAGCUUGCUCCUCUGACGUUAGCGGCGGACGGGUGAGUAACACGUGGAUAACCUACCUAUAAGACUGGGAUAACUUCGGGAAACCGGAGCUAAUACCGGAUAAUAUAUUGAACCGCAUGGUUCAAUAGUGAAAGACGGUUUUGCUGUCACUUAUAGAUGGAUCCGCGCCGCAUUAGCUAGUUGGUAAGGUAACGGCUUACCAAGGCAACGAUGCGUAGCCGACCUGAGAGGGUGAUCGGCCACACUGGAACUGAGACACGGUCCAGACUCCUACGGGAGGCAGCAGUAGGGAAUCUUCCGCAAUGGGCGAAAGCCUGACGGAGCAACGCCGCGUGAGUGAUGAAGGUCUUCGGAUCGUAAAACUCUGUUAUUAGGGAAGAACAAAUGUGUAAGUAACUAUUCACGUCUUGACGGUACCUAAUCAGAAAGCCACGGCUAACUACGUG
rnacentral:rRNA from 1 species